GGGAAUCUACCCAGAUCUACGGAACAACAGAGGGAAACUUCUGCUAAUACCGUAUACGCCCUACGGGGGAAAGAUUUAUCGGAUUUGGAUGAGCCCGCGUAAGAUUAGCUAGUUGGUGAGGUAAUGGCUCACCAAGGCGACGAUCUUUAGCUGGUCUGAGAGGAUGAUCAGCCACACUGGGACUGAGACACGGCCCAGACUCCUACGGGAGGCAGCAGUGGGGAAUAUUGGACAAUGGGCGCAAGCCUGAUCUAGCCAUGCCGCGUGAGUGAUGAAGGCCUUAGGGUUGUAAAGCUCUUUCAGUGGGGAAGAUAAUGACGGUACCCACAGAAGAAGCCCCGGCUAACUUCGUGCCAGCAGCCGCGGUAAUACGAAGGGGGCUAGCGUUGUUCGGAUUUACUGGGCGUAAAGCGCACGUAGGCGGUUUGUUAAGUCAGAGGUGAAAUCCUGGAGCUCAACUCCAGAACUGCCUUUGAUACUGGCAAGCUCGAGUCCGGAAGAGGUAAGUGGAACUCCUAGU
rnacentral:rRNA from 1 species